ACUCCUAAGUGUGCGUUGGAUA
rnacentral:siRNA from 1 species